AUUUCUUUUUUCUAUAUAUUAGAAAAGAAGGUUUUCUAUAUACUAGAAACUAGAAAAGAAGGUUUUGAUAUGUAUGCUAACCGCAAGAAAACAUAUUUCAAGGGUAGUAUAGUCAUUUCACCUACCAACUCAGCUAAUGAUAACACGUGUUUCAAGUACUAGAACGUGUCUUUCAGUUCUACUGCCACCACAACACUGUGUAGAGAGUUCCUUCGUCACUUUAUUUUCACUGUUUCACAAGUAAUUUUAGGCUACCCAAGUGUAGUAGCUUGUCUUUCAGUUCUGCUGCCACCACAACACUGUGUAGAGAGUUCCUAUGUCUCUUUAUUUUUUCUGUUUCACAGUACCAUAAGAAGAUUGCGGCUCGACGUUUUGGGAGAUUGGUGGUUGCUGCCGCCGCUGAUUAUUACUCCACACUUGGUCCUUGUGUCUGGGAACGGUAAAGAAAUCGAGCCUGCUUAUCUAAGGUAGUUGAUACGUUCGCAAUUGUCGAACCUGUUCCAAAAGCUGAUGAUGACGAGGCACCAUUACCUGCUGUAACAAAGCUGAAUGUACUGUCUUUCAUGCACCGAGACCAACAAUAUCCAGGUGUUGAAUUUGAUUGUUGGAGAGAUCGCUGGAGGGAAUGACACACGGAGAUCGAAGCAAAAUGAUGCACUGUAUUUCAAUAAGAUCUUGGGGCUUAAAUUUUCCUACAAUUAUGUGGGGCAUAUGCUCGUGGAUGUUGCUUCUGGGAAUGUGUGAUACUAGUGCGUGCUGCUUCCUGGGAAUCUGUUACCCGUGUUUACGCUACGCGGAGCUAGAAAAAGGAUAAGGAAGUUAGUACUAAUGGUACAGUUUGACCAGAGUUGGCUUCAACUGGUGGAAGUCAACUACCAUUGUUAUCCUGCGUAUCUGUCGGAUGUAGUGUUGGGUAGUGUUCUUUCUUCACCUAUGACUGCAUCAGAAAAUAAAGUAAUAUCAAAAUCUAUUUCCGACAGGAGACAGGAGGAAUUUGUAAGUAGAAUCUAGAAAUAAGAAGAGUUGAAAUUGGCGACGAUUAGUUAGAUAAAGUAUAUCGCAGAAUAUUUUUUGUUGGUAACAGCCUUGAUUUAAUAUUAUUAUGUACAACAUUGGAAGGACCGAUGAACUUCGGAUAAUACUAUAAGUGUCUUACGUUCUUCUUCCUCCCUUUAA